CUAUAGCGUAGUGAAUCAUCGAAUCUUUGAACGCACGUUGCACUGGCAGAGUCUAUCUGGCAGUAUACCUGGCUGAGUAUCGUAUAUAAAUUAUCCAGUAAUGGGAGAUGAGGCUUUAGUUUGCUGGCAACUGCUCUGCAGUUGGGUGACUAUGCCUUUAAAUGGAUGGGGCUGGUGCAGAUGCCCAGUGAGGAUGUUUGCUUUUGGGCAAAAUAAUCACGCGGCACCCGGUGCUGGCUUUUGCUGGCAACUGCUUUGCAGUUGUUGGAUAGUCGGUGUUUGCAUGCAUGCAAAUGUAUGUAGUAACCCUAUUCCCCAACCCUAACCCUAAGCCACUAAUUGUGGUGGUGCGGUGCGGCGUUGGUGCAGCAGACAACUGCGCAGCAGUUGCCAGAGAAAGAUCUCAGCUCAGGCAAGACGACCCGCCGAACUUAAGCAUAUCAAUAAGCGGAGG
rnacentral:rRNA from 1 species